GAUGAAGAACGCAGCGAAAUGCGAUAAGUAAUGUGAAUUGCAGAAUUCAGUGAAUCAUUGAAUCUUUGAACGCACAUUGCGCCCCCUGGUAUUCCGGGGGGCAUGCCUGUCCGAGCGUCAUUACAACCCUCAAGCUCAGCUUGGUGUUGGGCCCCGCCGCCCCGGCGGGCCCUAAAGUCAGUGGCGGUGCCGUCCGGCUCCGAGCGUAGUAAUUCUUCUCGCUCUGGAGGUCCGGUCGUGUGCUCGCCAGCAACCCCCAAUUUUUUUCAGGUUGACCUCGGAUCAGGUAGGGAUACCCGCUGAACUUAAGCAUAUCAAUAAGCGGAGGA
rnacentral:misc_RNA from 1 species